rnacentral:rRNA from 1 species
AUUGAACGCUGGCGGCAGGCCUAACACAUGCAAGUCGAGCGGAUGACGGGAGCUUGCUCCUUGAUUCAGCGGCGGACGGGUGAGUAAUGCCUAGGAAUCUGCCUGAUAGUGGGGGACAACGUUUCGAAAGGAACGCUAAUACCGCAUACGUCCUACGGGAGAAAGCAGGGGACCUUCGGGCCUUGCGCUAUCAGAUGAGCCUAGGUCGGAUUAGCUAGUUGGUGGGGUAAUGGCUCACCAAGGCGACGAUCCGUAACUGGUCUGAGAGGAUGAUCAGGCACACUGGAACGGAGACACGGUCCAGACUCCUACGGGAGGCAGCAGUGGGGAAUAUUGGACAAUGGGCGAAAGCCUGAUCCAGCCAUGCCGCGUGUGUGAAGAAGGUCUUCGGAUUGUAAAGCACUUUAAGUUGGGAGGAAGGGCAGUAAGUUAAUACCUUGCUGUUUUGACGUUACCGACAGAAUAAGCACCGGCUAACUCUGUGCCAGCCGCCGCGGUAAGAC